rnacentral:rRNA from 1 species
CCUACGGGAGGCAGCAGUGGGGAAUCUUGCGCAAUGGGCGAAAGCCUGACGCAGCAACGCCGCGUGCGGGAAGAAGGCUUUCGGGCUGUAAACCGCUUUCAGCAGGAACGAAAAUGACGGUACCUGCAGAAGAAGGAGCGGCCAACUAUGUGCCAGCAGCCGCGGUGAUACAUAGGCUUCAAGCGUUGUCCGGAUUUAUUGGGCGUAAAGAGUUCGUAGGCGGUCGAGUAAGUCGGGUGUGAAAAUUCUGGGCUCAACCCAGAGACGCCACCCGAUACUGCUUAACUUGAGUUCGAUAGGGGAGUGGGGAAUUCCUAGUGUAGCGGUGAAAUGCGCAGAUAUUAGGAGGAACACCGGUGGCGAAGGCGCCACUCUGGAUCGACACUGACGCUGAGGAACGAAAGCAUGGGUAGCAAACAGGAUUAGAUACCCUGGUAGUCCAUGCGGUAAACGGUGGGCACUAGGUGUGGGGACCUUCCACGGUCUCUGCGACGCAGCUAACGCAUUAAGUGCCCCGCCUGGGGAGUACGAUCGCAAGAUUAAAACUCAAAUGAAUUGACGG